GACCAUGAAUGACACGACACGACGCUGCAGAUGAUGAUGGAUGGCGCAGUUGGCAAGAUCUUAUUUAGUAGACGCUGCUACUAUAUUAGUAUGCUGCUGGGGGGCGCUUCUCCUUCCUCCUCGCGCUCCAUGGCGCCGCCGCCUCAGUUGCAGCUGCAGCAGGAGCAGCCGCAGCUGGUGCCGCACUUGCAGGUGUUGCAGUCGCAGCCGCCGGCCUCCGCGGCCGCCUCGAACCCGCCGGAGCUCCUGCACCCACACGCAGUCAUGGUUCAGUAACAUAACAACAGCAGCGGCGGCAAUGGAUCGAUCGAGAAGACGAAGCAAAGGAUAGUUCCCCACGCCAGACUUACGCCUUGUUGGUGGCGGCGGCGAUGACCAUGGUGGUGGUGGUGGAGGCGGCCUCCACGUCAGGGAACAUCUUGCAGCUGCAUAUACCCGGAUCAUACAUACACAUUCGUCAGGUACAUGAUCAGUAGAGUUUCAAAAAAAAAGAAGACAGUACAUGAUCACUAUAUCAACAGAUUUCGUCAUGGAAAACAAUGGUUUUCAUCAUGCACGUGUUGUUGUUGUGAGGUUCAAUUAGAUCCCUACCCGCCGCAUCCGCCGCCGCACUUGCAGCCAGCGCCGCACCCGCAGUUGCCGCCGCAGCAAGACAUGCUGAUGAUCACGAGCAGGGAAGCAGGAACUGGUGCUUGAAGAAGGUGUAGUAGUGCUUCUUGUGCUCUGCUUCGCUUGUGAU
rnacentral:lncRNA from 1 species